rnacentral:rRNA from 1 species
UACGUAGGGUGCGAGCGUUGUCCGGAAUUAUUGGGCGUAAAGGGCUCGUAGGCGGUCUGUUGCGUCGGGAGUGAAAACUCAGGGCUUAACCCUGAGCCUGCUUCCGAUACGGGCAGACUAGAGGUAUGCAGGGGAGAACGGAAUUCCUGGUGUAGCGGUGAAAUGCGCAGAUAUCAGGAGGAACACCGGUGGCGAAGGCGGGUCUCUGGGCCGAUACUGACGCUGAGGAGCGAAAGCGUGGGGAGCAAACAGG